rnacentral:rRNA from 1 species
GAUGAACGCUGACAGAAUGCUUAACACAUGCAAGUCAACUUGAAUUUGGGUUUUUAACUUAGGUUUGGGUGGCGGACGGGUGAGUAACGCGUAAAGAACUUGCCUCCCAGCUAGGGACAACAUUUGGAAACGAAUGCUAAUACCUAAUAUUAUGAUAAUAGGGCAUCCUAUAAUUAUGAAAGCUAUAAGCGCUGUGAGAGAGCUUUGCGUCCCAUUAGCUAGUUGGAGAGGUAACGGCUCACCAAGGCGAUGAUGGGUAGCCGGCCUGAGAGGGUGAUCGGCCACAAGGGGACUGAGACACAGCCCUUACUACUACGGGAGGCAGCAGUGGGGAAUAUUGGACAAUGGACCGAGAGUCUGAUCCAGCAAUUCUGUGUGAACGAUGAAGUUUUUCGGAAUGUAAAGUGCUUUCAGUUGGGAAGAAACAAAUGACGGUACCAACAGAAGAAGUGACGGCUAAAUACGUG